GAUUCUUUCAGUAGAUUUGCAGCAGCAUUCUGAGACCAAAGUCUCAUACAUACUAUUGCUUAAAACCUUGUUCCCAGGUCCUGUGUAUUAGUGUACUUGGCAAUGUUUUUUUGGAUCCUGGUAUUAAAACAGAAGAGAUAGAAUAUACUAUGUGAUUACAGGAAUACUGAUAGUAGCUCCUGUAAAUUUCUAUUUACAUAAACUUGUGUGCAAAAGACCUACUCUGUGCCUCAUGACAUUUACAAUUGGCAUUUAGUUCUCCUGUGAGGCCGAGGAGUCAUUCACUACUCACUGGCAUUGAACAGUUUUACCAUAGCCACCUCUUCCAGCAUCAUAGUCUUGCCGAUACUCAUCUCUGGCCCCCCGACCUCCCCCGGCCGUACUGCCGGCCCUCCUUAAAUCCUG
rnacentral:lncRNA from 1 species